GAUGAACGCUGGCGGCGUGCCUAAUACAUGCAAGUCGAACGGAGAUUGUAGCAAUACGGUCGUUAGUGGCGAACGGGUGAGUAACGCGUUGGUAACCUGCCCCGAAGCGUGGGAUAACGGUCCGAAAAGGACCACGUAAUACCACAUGUGAUCCCGAGGAAUAGAUACUUGGGGAUGAAAGGAGCAAUUCGCUUCGGGGGGGACCUGCGUCCCAUCAGCUAGUUGGUAGGGUAACGGCCUACCAAGGCGAUGACGGGUAGGGGACCUGAGAGGGUGGCCCCCCACAAUGGAACUGAAACACGGUCCAUACACCUACGGGUGGCAGCAGUAGGGAAUAUUGGUUAAUGUGCGAAAGCCUGAUGUAGCAACGCCGCGUGUGCGAUGAAGGUCUUCGGAUUGUAAAGCACUUUUUGGAGGGAUGAGGAAGGACAGUACCUCCAGAAUAAGCCUCGGCUAACUACGUG
rnacentral:rRNA from 1 species